GUCCUUGCCGUAAACGAUGUAUACUUGAUGUAAUUAGGCUCAACCCUGAUUGUGUCGUAGCUAACGCGAUAAGUAUACCGCCUGGGGAGUACGCUCGCAAGGGUGAAACUCAAAAGAAUUGACGGGGGCCCGCACAAGCAGUGGAGCAUGUGGUUUAAUUCGAUGCAACGCGAAGAACCUUACCUGGAUUUGAAAUACAGAGGAAGUUAGCAGAGAUGCUAACGCCCGCAAGGGCUUUUGUACAGGUGCUGCAUGGCUGUCGU
rnacentral:rRNA from 1 species